UCUGUAUUUACAGAUUAUUUAAACAACAGUCAACAAUGAGUACUUCAGAGUAUGAGCUUUUAUUCUGCCUUUUAAAAUAAAUAUAUGUACUCAUUUGUGCAAAUACCACUUGUUCUCCUCUGCUGCCAUUUCUGUGACAGCAGUGUGCAGGACUGUUCUUUAAAUGAUUAUUUUCUGAUGGGAUAACAGCCAAACAAAAACUGUCAGCUAUUUCAUAUCCUUUCUGAAGCUAUUUAGAAAUACGAAUUAACAUCUAAUGUGAAGAUCUAUAAAUAUGGCUUCAAGAUGGCUGACUAGAGGUACUCGCCUACUCCACAAAGAAGAACUAAAAUAAGAGAUAUCUGAAAUUGUGAUAGUGAAUUAGCCAAGGUAAGACAGAGGUCCUGGAUGCAGAAAGGCUGUGAAACUUGCCCAUUGUGUUUAGGAAGACAAGGCCAAAAUGUAACCUGGACCACAAGAUUGUAUGUGAUGUCACCAUCCUGAAGACCUAUAACUCAGAGAUAUCCAUAUAUCUAUAUCUCCAGCUACAAUCCUCACACUAUCUCUCUGCCUCAAAGAUACGAUGGAUUGUGUCAGACCACUGCAAUAAAGGAAUGACUAAUUUUCAUGGUUGAUAGUCACCCAUUGCACCUCCUAUCAUCAUCUGUUCCACUUUCCCGAUGGGAGAACAGAAGAAAAGAAGUGAAAAAUCAAAGACAGCCUCGUGUGGACCAUCCAGUGACUUAACGCUCAUUGAUUAGGACUGCAUCAUGUGGGUGCACCAAAUUUCAAGAAAUUCUGAGAGAUGCUGUCAUAUCUGUGUGAGAACCACAGAAUUGCAGCAACCACUCUAGUAUCAGGAAGAGAAUUAAAGAGCCAUGCUCAAGAUGGCAAAGAGGAAAAAGGAGCAAUCAUUGUUCAAUAACCCAAUGAUAUUGCCAAUUCACUGAAUUAAUAAAACCUGGAGCCACACCUACUCCUUUUUUUUUCUUUUUCUUUUUUUUUAAAUUAUUACUAUCCUUUAAGUUUUAGGGUACAUGUGCACAAUGUGCAGGUUUGUUACAUAUGUAUACAUGUGCCAUGUUGGUGUGCUGCACCCAUUAACUCCUCAUUUAGCAUUAGGUAUAUCUCCUAAUGCUAUCCCUCCCGCCUCCCCCCACCCUACAACAGGCCCCGAUGUGUGAUGUUCCC
rnacentral:lncRNA from 10 species